UUGUCAAUAAAUGAGGAGGGUGAUAUGGAGAUUUUACCAAUGCCAAUGAUUUGACCUUUAGCAUUGUCUCCAAAUGUGACUACUCCUCCUUCUUUUGAUUUCAAGGUGACGAAAAGACUCUCGUCACCGGUCAUAUGCCUUGAGCAACCGCUAUCAAGAUACCACAUUCUCUUUUUGCUCCGGCUGCAAGGCAUACCUGGCAAAAUAAUCAGUGAAGCUCUUAGGUACCCAAGUUUUCUUGGGUCCUUCUUGGUUAGUGUAGUUGGUUCCCUUAGGCACCCACAUUUUAGUUGUGUUUUUACGCUUUACAAAUGUAUUCUUGUUAGUUUGAAUUUGAAUGCAAGAAUAGGCUUUAUGUCCACUUUUUCCACAAUGAAAGCAUGUAGGUUUUUCAGUUUUGAUAUCUUUUGCUUUCACAAAAAAGUUCUUUAGAUAUUUUUGUUGUUUGCUAGUUUUGUAUCCUAAUCCGGCUUUAUUAAAAACAGCUCUUUGAUUGGAUAGAAUAAGAUUUAAUUUUUCAGAGCUAUGUGUAAA
rnacentral:lncRNA from 1 species